rnacentral:rRNA from 9 species
UUAAGCGACUAAGCGUACACGGUGGAUGCCCUGGCAGUCAGAGGCGAUGAAGGACGUGCUAAUCUGCGAUAAGCGUCGGUAAGGUGAUAUGAACCGUUAUAACCGGCGAUUUCCGAAUGGGGAAACCCAGUGUGUUUCGACACACUAUCAUUAACUGAAUCCAUAGGUUAAUGAGGCGAACCGGGGGAACUGAAACAUCUAAGUACCCCGAGGAAAAGAAAUCAACCGAGAUUCCCCCAGUAGCGGCGAGCGAACGGGGAGGAGCCCAGAGCCUGAAUCAGUGUGUGUGUUAGUGGAAGCGUCUGGAAAGGCGCGCGAUACAGGGUGACAGCCCCGUACACAAAAAUACACAUAUUGUGAGCUCGAUGAGUAGGGCGGGACACGUGGUAUCCUGUCUGAAUAUGGGGGGACCAUCCUCCAAGGCUAAAUACUCCUGACUGACCGAUAGUGAACCAGUACCGUGAGGGAAAGGCGAAAAGAACCCCGGCGAGGGGAGUGAAAAAGAACCUGAAACCGUGUACGUACAAGCAGUGGGAGCACGCUUAGGCGUGUGACUGCGUACCUUUUGUAUAAUGGGUCAGCGACUUAUAUUCUGUAGCAAGGUUAACCGAAUAGGGGAGCCGAAGGGAAACCGAGUCUUAACUGGGCGUUAAGUUGCAGGGUAUAGACCCGAAACCCGGUGAUCUAGCCAUGGGCAGGUUGAAGGUUGGGUAACACUAACUGGAGGACCGAACCGACUAAUGUUGAAAAAUUAGCGGAUGACUUGUGGCUGGGGGUGAAAGGCCAAUCAAACCGGGAGAUAGCUGGUUCUCCCCGAAAGCUAUUUAGGUAGCGCCUCGUGAAUUCAUCUCCGGGGGUAGAGCACUGUUUCGGCAAGGGGGUCAUCCCGACUUACCAACCCGAUGCAAACUGCGAAUACCGGAGAAUGUUAUCACGGGAGACACACGGCGGGUGCUAACGUCCGUCGUGAAGAGGGAAACAACCCAGACCGCCAGCUAAGGUCCCAAAGUCAUGGUUAAGUGGGAAACGAUGUGGGAAGGCCCAGACAGCCAGGAUGUUGGCUUAGAAGCAGCCAUCAUUUAAAGAAAGCGUAAUAGCUCACUGGUCGAGUCGGCCUGCGCGGAAGAUGUAACGGGGCUAAACCAUGCACCGAAGCUGCGGCAGCGACGCUUAUGCGUUGUUGGGUAGGGGAGCGUUCUGUAAGCCUGCGAAGGUGUGCUGUGAGGCAUGCUGGAGGUAUCAGAAGUGCGAAUGCUGACAUAAGUAACGAUAAAGCGGGUGAAAAGCCCGCUCGCCGGAAGACCAAGGGUUCCUGUCCAACGUUAAUCGGGGCAGGGUGAGUCGACCCCUAAGGCGAGGCCGAAAGGCGUAGUCGAUGGGAAACAGGUUAAUAUUCCUGUACUUGGUGUUACUGCGAAGGGGGGACGGAGAAGGCUAUGUUGGCCGGGCGACGGUUGUCCCGGUUUAAGCGUGUAGGCUGGUUUUCCAGGCAAAUCCGGAAAAUCAAGGCUGAGGCGUGAUGACGAGGCACUACGGUGCUGAAGCAACAAAUGCCCUGCUUCCAGGAAAAGCCUCUAAGCAUCAGGUAACAUCAAAUCGUACCCCAAACCGACACAGGUGGUCAGGUAGAGAAUACCAAGGCGCUUGAGAGAACUCGGGUGAAGGAACUAGGCAAAAUGGUGCCGUAACUUCGGGAGAAGGCACGCUGAUAUGUAGGUGAAGUCCCUUGCGGAUGGAGCUGAAAUCAGUCGAAGAUACCAGCUGGCUGCAACUGUUUAUUAAAAACACAGCACUGUGCAAACACGAAAGUGGACGUAUACGGUGUGACGCCUGCCCGGUGCCGGAAGGUUAAUUGAUGGGGUCAGCGCAAGCGAAGCUCUUGAUCGAAGCCCCGGUAAACGGCGGCCGUAACUAUAACGGUCCUAAGGUAGCGAAAUUCCUUGUCGGGUAAGUUCCGACCUGCACGAAUGGCGUAAUGAUGGCCAGGCUGUCUCCACCCGAGACUCAGUGAAAUUGAACUCGCUGUGAAGAUGCAGUGUACCCGCGGCAAGACGGAAAGACCCCGUGAACCUUUACUAUAGCUUGACACUGAACAUUGAGCCUUGAUGUGUAGGAUAGGUGGGAGGCUUUGAAGUGUGGACGCCAGUCUGCAUGGAGCCGGCCUUGAAAUACCACCCUUUAAUGUUUGAUGUUCUAACGUGGACCCGUGAUCCGGGUUGCGGACAGUGUCUGGUGGGUAGUUUGACUGGGGCGGUCUCCUCCUAAAGAGUAACGGAGGAGCACGAAGGUUGGCUAAUCCUGGUCGGACAUCAGGAGGUUAGUGCAAUGGCAUAAGCCAGCUUGACUGCGAGCGUGACGGCGCGAGCAGGUGCGAAAGCAGGUCAUAGUGAUCCGGUGGUUCUGAAUGGAAGGGCCAUCGCUCAACGGAUAAAAGGUACUCCGGGGAUAACAGGCUGAUACCGCCCAAGAGUUCAUAUCGACGGCGGUGUUUGGCACCUCGAUGUCGGCUCAUCACAUCCUGGGGCUGAAGUAGGUCCCAAGGGUAUGGCUGUUCGCCAUUUAAAGUGGUACGCGAGCUGGGUUUAGAACGUCGUGAGACAGUUCGGUCCCUAUCUGCCGUGGGCGCUGGAGAACUGAGGGGGGCUGCUCCUAGUACGAGAGGACCGGAGUGGACGCAUCACUGGUGUUCGGGUUGUCAUGCCAAUGGCACUGCCCGGUAGCUAAAUGCGGAAGAGAUAAGUGCUGAAAGCAUCUAAGCACGAAACUUGCCCCGAGAUGAGUUCUCCCUGACCCUUUAAGGGUCCUGAAGGAACGUUGAAGACGACGACGUUGAUAGGCCGGGUGUGUAAGCGCAGCGAUGCGUUGAGCUAACCGGUACUAAUGAACCGUGAGGCUUAACCUU